rnacentral:rRNA from 1 species
GACCUGCGGAAGGAUCAUUAUCGAGUUUUGAAACGGGUUGUUGCUGGCCUAGUUAAUAUACUGGGCAUGUGCACGCCUGACUCAUCCACUCUUUCAACCUCUGUGCACUUAUUGUAGGUUGGUAGUAAGGCUAAUUUUAAAUUAGCUGGAAGACCUUCCUACGUUUUACUAUAAACGCUUCAGUUAUAGAAUGUAUCUGCGUAUAACGCAUCUAUAUACAACUUUCAGCAACGGAUCUCUUGGCUCUCGCAUCGAUGAAGAACGCAGCGAAAUGCGAUAAGUAAUGUGAAUUGCAGAAUUCAGUGAAUCAUCGAAUCUUUGAACGCACCUUGCGCUCCCUGGUAUUCCGGGGAGCAUGCCUGUUUGAGUGUCAUGGAAUUCUCAAUCUUCAAUAUUUUUUAAAAAGAUUAUAUUGAAGACUUGGACUUGGAGGGUUAUGCUGGCUCUUGCUUAGUCGGCUCCUCUGAAAUGCAUUAGCGUGAAUGUUAUGGAUCGCCUUCGGUGUGAUAAUUAUCUGCGCCGUGGUCGUGAAGUAUAUUAUAUAUAUUCGCGCUUAUAGUCGUCCUUGAAAGGGACAAAUAUCUUGACUUUUGACCUCAAAUCAGGUAGGACUACCCGCUGAACUUAAGCAUAUCAAUA